ACCGGCGCACGGGUGAGUAACACGUAUCCAACCUGCCGUCUACUCUUGGACAGCCUUCUGAAAGGAAGAUUAAUACAAGAUGGCAUCAUGAGUCCGCAUGUUCACAUGAUUAAAGGUAUUCCGGUAGACGAUGGGGAUGCGUUCCAUUAGAUAGUAGGCGGGGUAACGGCCCACCUAGUCUUCGAUGGAUAGGGGUUCUGAGAGGAAGGUCCCCCACAUUGGAACUGAGACACGGUCCAAACUCCUACGGGAGGCAGCAGUGAGGAAUAUUGGUCAAUGGGCGCAGGCCUGAACCAGCCAAGUAGCGUGAAGGAUGACUGCCCUAUGGGUUGUAAACUUCUUUUAUAAAGGAAUAAAGUCGGGUAUGUAUACCCGUUUGCAUGUACUUUAUGAAUAAGGAUCGGCUAACUCCGUGCCAGCAGCCGCGGUAAUACGGAGGAUCCGAGCGUUAUCCGGAUUUAUUGGGUUUAAAGGGAGCGUAGAUGGAUGUUUAAGUCAGUUGUGAAAGUUUGCGGCUCAACCGUAAAAUUGCAGUUGAUACUGGAUAUCUUGAGUGCAGUUGAGGCAGGCGGAAUUCGUGGUGUAGCGGUGAAAUGCUUAGAUAUCACGAAGAACUCCGAUUGCGAAGGCAG
rnacentral:rRNA from 1 species